UACGUAGGGAGCAAGCGUUGUCCGGAAUCAUUGGGCGUAAAGCGCGUGUAGGCGGCUCGGUAAGUCCGCUCUGAAAGUCCAGGGCUCAACCCUGGGAUGCGGGUGGAUACUGCCGGGCUCGAGUCCGGAAGAGGCGAGUGGAAUUCUCGGUGUAGCAGUGAAAUGCGUAGAUAUCGAGAGGAACACCAGUGGCGAAGGCGAGUCCCUGGACACUUCCUGACACUGAGGCACGAAAGCUAGGGGAGCAAACAGG
rnacentral:rRNA from 1 species